rnacentral:rRNA from 1 species
UACGGGGGGAGCAAGCGUUGUUCGGAUUUACUGGGCGUAAAGGGCGCGUAGGCGGUCAGCACAAGUCAGUUGUGAAAUCUCCGGGCUUAACUCGGAAAGGUCAACUGAUACUGUGCGACUAGAGUGCAGAAGGGGCAACUGGAAUUCUCGGUGUAGCGGUGAAAUGCGUAGAUAUCGAGAGGAACAUCAGUGGCGAAGGCGGCUACCUGGCCCAAUACUGACACUCAGGUGCGACAGCGUGGGGAGCAAACAGG